CGCGGGGUGGAGCAGUCAGGUAGCUCGUUGGGCUCAUAACCCAAAGGUCAGAGGUUCGAAUCCUCUCCCCGCUACCA
rnacentral:tRNA from 1 species